GGCUUUCACCCAUUAUUCUGAGAUGUGUAGCCUCAGGGGACGAGAACUCCUUCAUUCAAUUUUAAAUUCACGCAAUUUGGUUUUGUUUGGUUCAUUUCAUCCCUUUACCUAUUACCUCAUUUCCUCUGUUGUUGACAGACAAGCAGAAUAACACACACGCACACACAGACACACACACCUGGGACAGGGGUCAUCUAACUGAACCCUGGUUUACCUGUCUACUAGGUAAACAGAACAAAACCCAGACUUUGUCCUGUCAAACACAGCUCUUAUCUCAGGUAACGGGAUGGAAUGAAAAUCUGGAGCUCGGAUCAAACCUUCUCAAUCGACGAGUCAUCCGAAAAACAGUGCUUUGCAUGAUGGGAAACUCAACAACCAAGUUGGACUAAUGCCUUUCAUCAUUCAUCAUUUCAUCACACGUCCGUCAUGCAGGGAGACAUUAUGAAUGAUCUUCCCUUAUCGGCCCUGAACAGUACGGCUGAGCUUAAUUGAUUUGUUCAGAGCUUUACUUCACCUUUGUACCCGACUCUUCACUCGAGAGCUUCUCGCCGUCCACCUGAUCAAGAUUAAAGCACUGAGGUGGGAACCAGCGGACAUUAAGUCCAAGAGGGAAACCGACAUCGAGAGGAAAAGAUUGGAUCAAACGCGGUGGGAGAACUGCUGCUCUCGAAGGCCAAACACUCACGGCGCACAAUUACAGCUCAACAAGGAAUAUAAACGGGGCAGCAGGACGGCCCGUCACCUGUAGAGACUGUGUGAUGUAGAGCGGGGCAGGACUCCCCCGACGGGAGAGGACCCUCCAUCCCUUCAUACGCCGCCAGUGGGAGAUUCUAUUAAAGCGUCAGCGGGCGCUGGUGGUGCUGGUGGGGUUCGGCGGAGGGGGGUGGGGGGGGGGGGUUGGUGUGAGCAGGUGCCGAGGGAGGGGACUGCAAACCCUCCAUCCAAUUUACUGCUGCAGCUGAAAUGGUUAUUAUGAUCCGUGCGUGCGUCAAUUAGGUGUUUAAGUAGUCGGUGUUUGUGAUUGCUGUGGAGCAGGAGUGAGAAUGCUCGCGGUUUUGACUCCACGGGUUCGUCCUCUUUGGUUAAUUAGACCGCGUGCAACACGGGAGGUUCAUGGGAUGCACACGCUCUGUAACACAGGACACAAAGCUGCCACUGAACAGGAUAUAAGAAGUUUUUUCCACGUGUAUGUGAUAUAGUAAUACUGUGUGUGUUACUGCGCAAGAUUGUACUUUUUACUACACCACAUUUGUAUCAUUAAUUGAUUUGAUUCAAGUGUUUAAUGGAUGAGAAUUAAAGCUACCGUGUAAAUAAAGGAGAUUAGCUUCAACGUCUUGCAUCAAACCUCGAUGACCCUCACUCAUGUUGUCGUCGAGUCAACCAGCUGACAUUAAAUAACAAAACAUAUCAUUUUAAGCUCUCUGCCCCCCCCCUCCCCCUCCUAUCCGCCCCACCAUAUCCGGGCACCGGCAGCACCUGGUGCAUCUGAACUGGAAACCUGAUCGUCGGCAGGUACAGGAAUAGCCCGACGGGACUGUGAAGGCCGCUCACCUGACCCGCUGUGAACUGUCACCCAACUUCUCUCCCCCAUGAGGACGAAACCCCGCUUGAGGCUUCGCUGCUGUACGGGUGAAAGGAUCAAAUGACAGAGACCCGCAGCGAUCCGCGGGACGACCUUGACCGAGCUGGCGGACCACCGCUUGGAAACAACCGCCAGCCAUGUGCGGCCGGUUGGAGGGCCCCCGUCCCGGAGGUGUUGCAGAAGGUGACGCGGUAACCGCGGCCAGCGUGUCCCAACCCAGG
ensembl:lncRNA